GUCCCUCUCAAAUGAAAGCCGCACUACUACUUUGCAGCAUAAAACAUACUUCUAUUCAUCAUGGUGUUAAUGAAAACCCAAAUGACAAAUAGCACAAGGAAAAUGAGAGUGAAACAAGUUUUCUUGAAGAAAUCAACAUAACAAAGUUCUGGAAAGCAAAGAUUACAUGCCCUGUAGCUUCAAAAUAUAACCAAAUACUCGAGAGCUUUACCAUAACAUCAUCUCACAGCCACCAGCAGCCUCCCCCUCAUUUUUCACUUNNNNN
rnacentral:lncRNA from 1 species